GCCAAAGGCAAAGCUAAGUGAUAGAGGAUAUUGCGGUCAUGGCGGAUCGCAUUUUCUAACCCUAUGGUUUGUUAUUUGUAAAUUUGUGCAUUGUUUGUAGUUUUUCAUCUGGCUUUCUACAAACUUCAAGUUUACUUACGUUGUGUCAAGUGCGCAAAAAGCUGGACUACCCUCUAUAGCGAAGUCGGUCGGAUUUGACGUACUAAUCUCGCACGGUAUGCCUUGAGUAUUUCUCAUGGUCCUACAUGUUUAAAUAUGUGUAGGGUAUGGGUGUAAUAUUUCAACGUGUAUUGUUAGUGUUAAACGUUCGAUUUCAACAAGUAGUUAUUACGUUCACUGAGCCUCCUUUCCUAAGAACUACUGCCAGUCGCAUCAGUUGUAAGUAGGCGUCUGCUAACAGUCGUUGCAAAUUGGUUAGAAUGUUUUUGGAGGCCAAGAAGUGACCAGUUUUCAUAAACUGCUUGUUGGGAUGGAAAGUACAAGAUCAACUUGCCAAGCUCUAGUGCUGCUAAAUCUCGUACUGAAAGUUAAUAGUACGAGGUCACACAAAUCUUGGUACAUUA
rnacentral:telomerase_RNA from 1 species